UGAAACUGUUUGGUGGACCUCAGAGGAGGCUU
rnacentral:piRNA from 1 species